rnacentral:lncRNA from 1 species
GUGGCUAAUUUCUAUUUCUUUGGGAAUAACUCUCUAUUGAAACUUUUUAGGAAAGACAUGGGCUAUCAUUGUUUUUUUUUCAGGGAGGCGGGCAUCUAGUACCCAUUGUUUUAAUUACUGGGACACUUGUCCAUCUUUUACUCCCUUUUCUUUUCUUCUUCUCUCUUUUUUUAAUAACUUUCCUUUUGCAUAGCCACAUGCAUCCUUUGAAUACAAUAUGGUAAUUGGAGAGAUAGAAAUAAGUACUUAGAGCAAUUAAACAAAGGCUGUCCUAUGGGUUUGGUUUAUGUUGGUGUUUACUCCCAGUGU